rnacentral:pre_miRNA from 1 species
CCAUGGCUGCGACAGGCACCAUUGUUCAGUGUUUCGAAGGAAAUAAUACCGUUGCUGGGUUUGGAGGACUGUUUUAACGGUAUUAUCUGCUUCGAGACUCUGAACAGCGGUGCCAUAGAAGCUACUGCCC